rnacentral:rRNA from 1 species
UCGGGAAUUUUGGGCAAUGGGCGAAAGCCUGACCCAGCAACGCCGCGUGAAGGGUGAAGUCUUUCGGGAUGUAAACUUCGUAAGAAUAGGAAGAAUAAAUGACGGUACUAUUUGUAAGGUCCGGCUAACUACGUGCCAGCAGCCGCGGUAAUACGUAGGGAUCAAGCGUUGUUCGGAUGUACUGGGCGUAAAGGGCGCGUAGGCGGCAACUCAAGUCAUCUGUGAAAUCUCCGAGCUUAACUCGGAACGGUCAGAUGAUACUGUUUUGCUAGAGUACAGAAGGGGCAAUCGGAAUUCUUGGUGUAGCGGUGAAAUGCGUAGAUAUCAAGAGGAACACCUGAGGUGAAGACGGGUUGCUGGGCUGAUACUGACGCUGAGGCGCGAAAGCUAGGGUAGCAAAC